rnacentral:rRNA from 1 species
CUCAAACCACAACAGAGGUUGUUCGCCUUCGGACUGUCCUUAUCCCACAGCUCUACCACAAGUUAGCCUUGGAGUGUGGCGAUAGGCGUCCUAAAGAAAAACUGAUAAACUUAUAAGAUAUUAUGUGCGAAGAUGGCUAAAUCUUCCGCUGGAUGUGCCGAUAGCAUUUGUUCAUGCACCCCCAAAAAGUGGAGGUCUCGGAAUUCCAUCACUAAGAUGGGUAGCUCCAAUGUUAAGGCUAAGACGCUUGAGUAACAUUAAAUGGCCUCACCUCACGCAAAACGAGGUAGCCAGCUCUUUCCUCGAAGCCGAAAAACAACGGGCCCGAGAUAGAUUAUUAGCUGAACAAAAUGAACUGUUAUCGCGUCCGGCAAUAGAAAAAUAUUGGGGCGAACAAGUUGUACCUCUCAGUUGAUGGUAGCGGACUCCGUGAAGCGGGCCAUUAUGGCCCGCAACACGGGUGGGUUAGUCAACCCACGCGUUUAUUAACAGGAAAGGAAUAUAUAGACGGUAUUCGUCUGCGGAUAAAUGCCCUAACCCACAAAGUCUCGUACUACAAGGGGAAGGCACGAAUUGGAACGACAGUGUCGUGCAGGAUGUGAAUGCUCCCGAAACAACAAACCACAUAAUGCAAAAAUGCUACCGCUCGCAUGGGAGGCGGGUAGCUAGACACAACUGCGUAGUAAAUCGAAUCAAGCGGGGACUUGAGGAGAGAGGCUGCGUGGUCAUUGUUGAACCAAGUCUGCAGUGGCGAAUCCGGCCUUAAUAAACCAGACCUGGUGGCACUACGACAAAAUCACAUUGAUGUGAUCGACAUACAAAUUGUGACAGACGGACACUCUAUGGAUGAUGCGCACCAGCGCAAAAUCAAUAAGAUACGACAGACCGGACAUACGAACUGAAUUGCGUCGCAGAUUCGAAGCCGCAGGUGACAUUGAAUUCCAUUCUGCCACCCUGAACUGGAGGGGGAUCUGGAGUGGUCAAUCCGUUAAAAGAUUGAUAGCAAAGGGUCUCCUCAGCAAAUAUGAUAGUCAUAUCAUUAGCGUCCAGGUUAUGAGAGGCAGUCUCGGUUGUUUUAAAACAGUUCAUGUACCUGAGCGGGUUUUCCCGAGAUUGGACUUAGCUAAAUCGUUUGUUCAAAACAUUUGCUUGCUGUCUUGGCAUAACAUCAAUAAAGGCAUAAACAUCGCAAAAUAAUGGUUAUAAUUAAAUGGCUAUGAGGAUGGUUUUAGUACGUAGGCGUUGCGGCACUUCGGUUCAUAUAGAGCAAUGAAUCGUGCAUGCUAGGAAAACUGACCACACACAGUGUUGGCAGACCUAGUAUCUUUCGAAGAUUUCCAUACCUCCGCGAUCAAAAAAAAAAAAAAAAAAAAAAUAGCCAAAUGCCUCGUCAUCUAAUUAGUGACGCGCAUGAAUGGAUUAACGAGAUUCCUACUGUCCCUAUCUACUAUCUAGCGAAACCACAGCCAAGGGAACGGGCUUGGAAUAAUUAGCGGGGAAAGAAGACCCUUUUGAGCUUGACUCUAAUCUGGCAGUGUAAGGAGACAUAAGAGGUGUAGAAUAAGUGGGAGAUAUUAGACCUCGGUUUGGUAUCGUCAAUGAAAUACCACUACUCUUAUUGUUUCCUUACUUACUUGAUUAAAUGGAACGUGUAUCAUUUCCUAGCCAUUAUACGGAUAUAUUUAUUAUAUCUUAUGGUAUUGGGUUUUGAUGCAAGCUUCUUGAUCAAAGUAUCACGAGUUUGUUAUAUAAUCGCAAACAAAUUCUUUAAUAAAACGAUGCAUUUAUGUAUUUUUGAUUUGAAAAUUUGGUAUAACUCCAAUUACUCAGGUAUGAUCCAAUUCAAGGACAUUGCCAGGUAGGGAGUUUGACUGGGGCGGUACAUCUCUCAAAUAAUAACGGAGGUGUCCCAAGGCCAGCUCAGUGCGGACAGAAACCACACAUAGAGCAAAAGGGCAAAUGCUGACUUGAUCUCGGUGUUCAGUACACACAGGGACAGCAAAAGCUCGGCCUAUCGAUCCUUUUGGUUUAAAGAGUUUUUAACAAGAGGUGUCAGAAAAGUUACCAUAGGGAUAACUGGCUUGUGGCGGCCAAGCGUUCAUAGCGACGUCGCUUUUUGAUCCUUCGAUGUCGGCUCUUCCUAUCAUUGUGAAGCAAAAUUCACCAAGCGUUGGAUUGUUCACCCAUGCAAGGGAACGUGAGCUGGGUUUAGACCGUCGUGAGACAGGUUAGUUUUACCCUACUAAUGACAAAACGUUGUUGCGACAGCAUUCCUGCGUAGUACGAGAGGAACCGCAGGUACGGACCAAUGGCACAAUACUUGUUCGAGCGAACAGUGGUAUGACGCUACGUCCGUUGGAUUAUGCCUGAACGCCUCUAAGGUCGUAUCCGUGCUGGACUGCAAUGAUACAUAAGGGGCAAUUUGCAUUGUAUGGCUUCUAAACCAUUUAAAGUUUAUAAUUUACUUUAUAAACGACAAUGGAUGUGAUGCCAAUGUAAUUUGUAACAUAGUAAAUUGGGAGGAUCUUCGAUCACCUGAUGCCGCGCUAGUUACAUAUAAAAGCAUUAUUU